GUGGGUUGGUUUAGCGAGUACUUGCCUGGCGCAAAUCAACAAUAGUCGCCAUGUUUUGUUCUCCUGCCGAAUCAGUCCGUGUUAUUUCUCUUCGUAAGUUGAUUUCAAUCGCCAUUACUAUCAGGCGCCAUGCAUGGAUUUGCGCCAGUAAUAUUCGUCUUGCUCGUCAUCACCAACUUAUUUACUUGCGCUCGCGCAGCAUCCGGAUUUUGACGCGACGGACGCUGGCUGUGAUGAUAUGCUGGUUCCGACAAAAGAAUAGUCCCGUUAGAAGACCGUACGCUACGAAAUGCCCCGCUAUGAAGGCCAAAGAAUGACCACAUUCCGGUAGAGGUGCCAUGAUACUCACAUGAAAUCAAAUAAACGAUACGUAAAUAAAAUAUGGAUAUGACUUAACAAAAUUAUUUGUUAU